GAUUUCUGGUACGGCGCACUUGGCCCGCUUCGGUUACGAGGUCGAGUGCCGGUGUGCGCCUGCCAUCCUUCUAGAGUACGUCUCUCCCUUCAGUGGGUUGGGCCGGAAUCUAGAUCAUUUACUUUGAAAAAAUUAGAGUGUUUAAAGCAGGCUUACGCUAUGAAUACAUUAGCAUGGAAUAAUAAUUUAGGACUUUGGUCUUAUUUUGUUGGUUUCUAGGACUAAAGUAAUGAUUGAUAGGGACAGUUGGGGGUGCUAGUAUUCAGCGGCCAGAGGUGAAAUUCUUGGAUUCGCUGAAGACUAACUUAUGCGAAAGCAUU
rnacentral:rRNA from 2 species